UUUCCGUAGGUGAACCUGCGGAAGGAUCAUUAUCGUACAAAAUGUGAUGGACAUGCGUGGGGUGUCGCUGACCCAAAAGUCGUGCACGCCCGAGUGUGUCCUCUUGCAUAAUAAUCCAUCUCACCCUUUGUGCAUCACCGCGUGGGCACCCUUCGGGAUCAUCUCGGAGGGGUGCUCGCGUUUUCACACAAGCCCCCCUUUUAAAAAUGUAGAAUGACCACAUUUAUGCAAUCAAUACAACUUUCAACAACGGAUCUCUUGGCUCUC
rnacentral:misc_RNA from 1 species